rnacentral:rRNA from 1 species
UACGGGGGGAGCAAGCGUUGUUCGGAUUUACUGGGCGUAAAGGGCGCGUAGGCGGCCACCGCAAGUCGACUGUGAAAUCUCCGGGCUUAACCCGGAAAGGUCAGCCGAUACUGCGGGGCUAGAGUGUAGAAGGGGCAACUGGAAUUCUCGGUGUAGCGGUGAAAUGCGUAGAUAUCGAGAGGAACACCUGCGGCGAAGGCGGGUUGCUGGGCUGACACUGACGCUGAUGCGCGAAAGCUAGGGGAGCGAACGGG